UUUUUUUUUUUUUUAAAUGUUGAUCUAAAUCAAAUAAUGUUGUAUAUGAAAUAUGUGGAGGGUUGCAGAGGUUAUCCAGGCAAAAUAAAUGAUAUUUUGGGUGCACUGAACUAGAGAAAUGUUAUUGGUUUCUUUGUGAUUGCUGCUCAUUUCACCCUGAGAAAGCAUUAUGCAGAGAAGCAAUGAGUGGUGGUGGUAAACUAUGUAUCGGCUGCUCACUCUCCCUAUUAUAGUCGCCCAUUGCUGACUUGAAUUGGUAUGACUAAGGGAUAGUUACAUACCUGUCUUAGACAUAUCUCCAGUGGGGACUGGGCUGUAGGAAAUUAUGGAUCCUCAUUCAGUGUUAAACCACUUACAAUGGUUUCAAAAUGAAUGGAUGGAUAGCGUCAGGGGACUCUAGGAACUACUCUAGGAGGAACUACUUCAGAAAAAAUUGUUAUAGUGUCUAGAGUGUCCCUUUACAGAGAGUGCUAAUUGCUUUAUUUUAGAAAUACAGUUUAUUUGUUUUGUUCUGUUAAACUAUAGAUAGAUAUGUAAAGGGGGAUAAUAUAGAUCAACUUUGCUUUUCAUCAAAAUCCAUGCUGAAGCGGCUUAGUAUGACAUAAUAACAAUAAACAUGUCUUGCAACCUUUUUGCUAGUAGCUUAGCAAUAUGUAGCUGCAACAGUCAAUUUUUUUCCCAAGACUGAUACAGUAUAAAAUAUACUUCCAUCACAUGCCCUUGGCAUAUUUUAAAUAAAAAUACUAUGGUUAUAUGUUUGUAAAGAGUAUUUAGCAAUGUUGGUUCUCGUUUAUUC